AGAUGUCCUUCUGGGAGCAGCCAUCACUUGUAACAGCUGAAAACAUGAAGUCUUCCAGGCUUCUCUUUUGAAGGCGUGACAACUCCAGUGCCAUCUGCAGAAUCUUUAUUACAGAGGUAGAAGUGAGAGGAGCACAGGGGAGCCGGCCCUCAGGUGCCACCGCCGCACAUGGGGAUGGGGGCACCCAGGCACCACAGCCCACUCCUCUGCAGCCACUGUGUCCCACUGUGUCCCUGUGGCCACUCAUGCUGCCCAUAGCCCCAUGGCAGCACUUCCCGCUCCACGAGCCCGCCCUUCAGCCGCAGCUUCUCACAGACCGUUUCACACUGAUCCUUUAAGUUGACCUCCAGCUUCCUGUUGAAGGAGGUCAGAAAGGUCAACUGCUUUAGGCCGUAAUCCUUCAAACCUCUUCCUCAACGCAG
rnacentral:lncRNA from 1 species